GGGGGCGUACUGGUUUCGACCUGUCGAGCCCGCUCGCGACGGCAUGCCGAGGACGAUCCGUUGGCCUCGUAAAUCAUCGGGUCAAACAUCAACUGCUAACGAAGAGUUGGCUCUCGCGGCCUAAUUAAGCCGUGACGUCUGCCCCCGAACACCUGCUACGGGGAGCGGACGCCAUCAGCAGGCAUGGUUACCGGCGGAGUUCGCGCGUCGGAGGCCGAGAAACUUCAUGCGAGCUAGGCGGAACCGGUCGCCGUUGGCCCGUUACGGUUCUGAAGAAAAUCCCUGGCUGACUAAGCAUGUAGUUCGUUUCGAGUUGGAUUGUCAGGGACGGGGGUUCAACUCCCCCCGCCUCCACCA
rnacentral:tmRNA from 1 species